GAAGAGGAGUCAGUAGCCCUCCAUGGACCAGGGUUAGUUUCUGCUUCUGUGCCAGAAGCCAGCAAGCUAGCGGAGAGCAAGCACAGAGGCCUGUCCUCACGGAGCUUACAGUCCAAAGGAGGGACACAGGUGUACUCACUGCUCCAGUGACAUCUGCAUUAGUGAGGGGGCGGGGGAAGAAAGAGGAUGCCCUCGCAGAUGGAGAAGGAGGCCCUCUCAUCAGUGGAAGGUAAGGUGUGUUUCUCAAAUCCUGGGUUGCAUGUGGG